GCAUCCAUUUCUUUCGCGUAGUCAAAUCGUUCUCCAGCCUUCUGACGAUAGCACUUCCCCAAGAAAGAUAAUAUCUUUUGCUAUCUGUUUUGACUCCAUCCCUUCCAUCCUCUCCUUCAGUCCGAGUUUCUUGAUUCUCUCCUUCUUCAGUCAAGCGCAUACCGAUCCAGAUCUGUUCCCUUCAGGUAAAUACUCUCUUCUCUAUCAAUGGCUCUUCUAGCCAACUUAUGCGCGUUCGAAUUUUCUGAUCUAUUGAUAUGUUGAAAAUUAAGGUCUUGAAAACAUGAUAUCUUGCUGUGAAUAUCGCUAAUAAUUGCCCCAAUCACUGAUUUAUCAAUUGAAUUUUUCCGACAUUUGUUGAUGACUGUCUUGGAGUCCCCCGUGAUUUUUAUUGAUGGCAUUCGUAGAGCGAUUCCUAAUUUCAUACUUUCCAAACAAGCUACGCCUCUGCUGCAAACGCGGAGGAAACCUUCUUAUGUAUCACCAUCUUUAGCACCAGCAAAUCUCCAUUUUGGUCCCACCCUACCAGUCCUGUUGCUGACUUGAAGCUUCGUUUGUCGAAAGCUGCAUCAAACUGGAUCGCUGCUUUUGGUAAGUCCUCUUGAACACCAUACUUCCUGACCAUAGUUUUCUGUGUCUUCAAAUCUCUUACUCCCUCAAUCUCUGCCAUUUGUCUUUGGAUGCUUUGUGCUAUAACUCGACCUGUACUGUUUUUCCUUUCAUAAAUAAACUGGUUUCUGGAGACCCAGAUCGCCCAUAAAGCAUAGCAAAACAGUCGACAUUGAGCAUCGUUUCCUUUCUGGAAAACCCAGUCUCGGAACACAUGGAGACUUUCUUCAGGCCAGGAUCGACAUCGGGGGCAUUCCUCAUUAGUAAUAACUUUCCUUCAUCUGAGAUUAACAAAAUUAGGGAUAUAAUCCCAAGAGAUUCUCCAAAUAGUCAUUGUAAUUUUUGGGGGAAGCUGUAAUCCCUAUAAUUUCCUGUAAAAGUUCUUAGAUUCGGUCUGUAACAAGUAAUCGGUAGGAUUAAGAGUAGCCUCUUGUAAUAGUUUAUAAGCGCUACGAACAGAAAAUUCACCGGAUAAUUCUCCCUUCCAUACUUGGAUGUCUUCGUGCUCAGUCUCGGCUAACGACAUUUGUAAAAUUUUCUGGGCUGUUUCGACUUGAAAGCUCUAUCGAUUACCAGAAUCCAACUAUCCUCCCAAAUAGAGAUUUUGUCUCCCCUGCCCACUCUCCAGCACAGUCCUUGUUGGAGUAAACCUUUUGCUGCCCAAAUGCUCCGCCAGGUGAGUGAAGGUGCAAAUGGCGGUGGGUGGGUCGGUGGCAGAGGAGUUGGUGCGGCGCAACAGUGACGGUGGGGAUGGGUCAUGCGGCGUUGAGCAGUUAGAAGGCAGACCUGGGUGCGGCGCACCUAGGGUUUUUUUGUUAUUUUCUGUUAGAUUUUUGGGGUUUUUUGGGCCAUUGUAUCUUUGGGCUUUAUGGGUUAGGUCUAGGCUAGGUUUGGUUUUGGGCCCCAGGCAUAAAUUGGGCUGUACAGCUACCCUUCUUUGCUCGUUGUCGUGUAGUGAGAACAGAGCAAAGACUAAGAAAGACCAAUUUUGCUCGGUCUCACUGAUUCUUGACUUCUUUGGGCUCUUCUUUUCUUCAAGUAACCUCAUUCCAGUCCAUUGUGUCUUAUUGCUUUGAUCCACUCCACUGCAACUUCAAAAAGAGAUAUGACUUAUGGCUUCAAUCCAAUCUGCUGCAACUUUAGGGGGUAAGGUUUGUGGUUUUAGUCUGCUCCACUGCAAUGUCAGGGAGAUAAGACUUGUAUAUUUUUAACCUGCUCCACUGCAACUUCAGGGAGAUAAGGUUUGAUAUGAUCUACUCUACUACAACGUCAGAGAGAUAAGAUCUGCUAUUUAUGGCUUUAAUCUGCUCUACUGCAACUUCAGAGAGAUAAGAUUUGCUAUAUUCAGUCUGCUCCACUGUAACUUCAGGGAGAUGAGACUUGCCGUUUUCGAUCUGUUCGCCAGGGAAGUAAGAUUUGCUGUUGUAGUUUCAAUCUAUUUAACUGUAAUUUUGGGGAAGCAAGAUUCGCUGUUGUAGCUUCAAUCUGUUCCAUUGCAUCACUAGGGAAGUAAGAUUCGCUGUUGUAGCUUUAAUCUAUUUAACUGCGAUGUCGGGAAAGCAAGAUUCACUGUUGUAGCUUCAAUCUGUUCCACUACACCGCUAAGGAAGUAAGAUUCGAUAUUGUAGCUUAAAUCUAUUUAACUGCAAUGUCGGGGAAACAAGAUUUACUAUUGUAGCUUC